rnacentral:rRNA from 1 species
UACGUAGGGUGCAAGCGUUAAUCGGAAUUACUGGGCGUAAAGCGUGCGCAGGCGGUGAUGUAAGACAGAUGUGAAAUCCCCGGGCUCAACCUGGGACCUGCAUUUGUGACUGCAUCGCUAGAGUACGGCAGAGGGGGAUGGAAUUCUGCGUGUAGCAGUGAAAUGCGUAGAUAUGCGGAGGAACACCGAUGGCGAAGGCAAUCCCCUGGGCCUGUACUGACGCUCAUGCACGAAAGCGUGGGGAGCAAACAGG